ACUGAGGAGGUAAAGGAGUUUUCACCUGUGUAGCCCACUGAAGAAUCUAAUAUCUGAUUGGUGAGAAGGAGCUGCAGGUACAGAGCUGAAGGACCAGUUCGGUGGACUCUGGUGGCCUCUACAGGUGUACUCACAACUGUGCAGGCCUGCUAUUUCACACAGGUGAAAUGAGAGAGUCAGAUCUGAAGCAGUGGAAUUCUUCUGUAUGUGAUGUCUGAAGCAGAGGAACUGUACUGUGUAUGUUGUCUGAAGAGAAGGAACUACUAUAUGUGAAUUUUGAAGCAUGACAUCUAUACUAUAUAUUAAGUCUGAAGCAGGGAAACUGUACUGUAUGUGAUGUCUGAAGCAGGAAAACUACUGUAUACUACGUCUUAAGCAAAGAAACAAAUGUAUUUGAACCUGGAAGCAAGAGAACACUAAUGUGUGUGAAUUUUGAAGCAGGGCAUCUCUACUUCAUAUAAAUUCUGAAGCAGGGGAACUGCAUUGUCUGAGAAUUUUGAAGCAGGGGAACUGUACUGUGUAUGUUGUCUGAAGAGAAGGAACUACUAUAUGUGAAUUUUGAAGCAUGACAUCUAUACUAUAUAUUAAGUCUGAAGCUGAGGAACUGUACUGUACAUGAUAUCUGAAGCAGGGAAACUGUACUGUAUGUGAUGUCUGAAGCAGGAAAACUACUGUAUACUACGUCUUAAGCAAAGAAACAAAUGUAUUUGAACCUGGAAGCAAGAGAACACUAAUGUGUGUGAAUUUUGAAGCAGGGCAUCUCUACUUCAUAUAAAUUCUGAAGCAGGGGAACUGCAUUGUCUGAGAAUUUUGAAGCAGGGGAACUCUACUGUGUGUGACGUCCAGAUUUUCUUGUAUUGCAGCCAUGGCCAGAAAAACAGCUAUGAUAUCUCUUAUGACCUGGAAUAUUAAUUGGCUUAAGAGUAAAGUGUCUGAUGUCACUAAAGCAGCCGAAGAGAACAAUGUGGACAUUGUAUUUCUUCAGGAGACUCGAAUUGGAACACAGGACGGAUAUGUAUUUCGCAUGUUAGAAAAAUGGCGCACAUUUUACACAAAGAAUGAUUCAUGCACAAGAGGAGUUGCCAUCCUCAUUAAAAAGGACAUUGAUUGUAAGUUGAGUGGGAAAUCUAUAAAAGAUUCUGGAUGUUACAUCAUAGUGAAAUGUGAACUACGAGGCCAGCCUUUCACCCUUGUGAAUGUGUACAGCCACAAGUCAAAAAAAAAUAUUUGGGACAAAGUCAGUCGGCACCUACAAAACAGUGCAGACAGUGUGUUGGUGAUUGGAGGAGACUUCAAUACUGCUCUCAACCCAUAUUUGGACAGGACAUCUAUAACCAUAAACAAAAAACAUGAAGCUUGGCGGAAAUGUAUUGCAAAAUUGACUACAUUCUUCCACCUUGUGGAUGUCUGGAGAAGAAUGAACCGAACAAAGAUACAAUACACUUACUCUAAAAAUGAUUACAAGUCCAGGUUAGAUUACAUUUUCAUGCAGGAAGAGGCCAUGUGGCGAGUUAACACCUGUGAGAUCCUUGACACUGUAGAGGACUCGGACCAUAAACCUGUCUGUCUUCAGCUUACCUCAACACCAUCCAGCCAUGAUCCCCCUCCAGACACAGAUCUCUAUUUUCACGUGGCUCCAAUACUGGCCUGGCACCUGGAGGAGCAUUUUAAAGAUAUGACAGCACAAACAGAAGAGGCAAUGGACAAAACCAAGAGUCUGCUAGUGAUCCAUCUAGGAAGAAAAGAGAAGGUAAAGUGGUCUUUACUGAAGGAGGCAAUAGAAGCACUGAACAAUCCCCUUCUUAAAUCCAUUCUCUUUGACAAGCUGUUGAGAAGAUCAGACCUGGACCAGAACUGCAAACAGCUACAGCAUGGCUGUCCCCUCACCACAGCCCUGUUAAAAUUGUGUGUCACACACUUAGUGUGCAAAGUGAAAACAGAUGAACUCUUCCCAUCAGGCAUGACAACAGGAACUCUCAUCUACGGUGAAACUGUCAUGAUGAGCCUUUCAUUCAAAGCCAAUGAAAUACUGAAGGUAAGGCGGUCUUUGCUGCAGAAGCCA